rnacentral:tRNA from 1 species
ACUCCUGUGGCGCAGUGGUUAGCGCGCCGUUCUUAUAAUGCGGAUGUCCAGGGUUCGACCCCCUGCAGGAGUA